rnacentral:lncRNA from 1 species
ACGACACAAGGAUAAAAACAAAAAAGAAAAACCGGCAAAUCCAGAGAUCUAAUAAAUAACUAAUAUCAUGAAGAGAGGAUCUUGAUCUACUUCUGAUAAAUAGUUAUUAAUAAACAUUAUAAAACAUUUUGUAUUAUUAUCUCCCAUCGACAGAGAUAGAAUUGUGGAUUAUUAUUGCCUUAGAUACGUAAUCAUGGAACCACGAAGGGAGCUCUUGGUUCUUGUACUUCACUGCGUAUAUUAUGCAUUGUCUUUUGGGGAUGAGCCAUUAAAUCUUCCACCUAUCCUUAUAUUGUGAGGAAGUUAAUGAGCCAAUCUGAGGGACUCAAUCACACGUGAAAGUUUCUCCAGGCUUCUCCCACCACCAUCAUGAGAAUUAGGGAUCUUCCCUGGACUUGUUAGUAAAAAUAUAGGACGUCCGUACCAAUUUUGACGUGUGCCAAUGAAUUAAUUAUUCAAAAGGAUCUGCAUGUUCCAUGCCAAUACUAAUACCAAGCCGUUCAAACCUUCGACUAGUGAUUGAUGAAGGGUCCUUCACUUCACGAACAAUUUUAACAAACGAAGUUUGCCUUAUCAUUUGGUUAGAAAUGACUUCUAAUGUAAAAAAUGCAGGGAUCGAAGGACCAAGAUAAUUAAUUUUGAAAUCUCGUCCAGAGAACAUCCGCUGUGUUCUAUGGGAUAGAAAGAAGUUAUUCAACACGGAGCUCUCGUCAAAUAUAUAUUAGCCUGCAGAAGUAAUCCUGCACUACUAAGGAACUGAAAGUAAAUUAUAAUUGAUGAAAUGAUAAAAGUACUAAAAAUAAUUAGCUUUUAUUCUCAUAAAAUAAAUAGUCAUAUAUGCAAAACACCUUUGUCAAAUAAAUAAAGCAAUAAGAAACUUAAA